rnacentral:rRNA from 1 species
UCGGCUUAGAGUUUGAUCAUGGCUCACAUUGAACGCUGGCGGGGCCUAACACAUGCAAGUCGAGCGGUAGGGAAGCUUGCUUCUCACGAGCGGCGGACGGGUGAGUAAUGUAUGGGGAUCUGCCCGAUAGAGGGGGAUAACUACUGGAAACGGUAGCUAAUACCGCAUAAUCUCUAAGGAGCAAAGCAGUUCGUUGCGCUAUCGGAUGAACCCAUAUGGGAUUAGCUAGUUGGUGAGGUAAUGGCUCACCAAGGCGACGAUCCCUAGCUGGUCUGAGAGGAUGAUCAGCCACACUGGGACUGAGACACGGCCCAGACUCCUACGGGAGGCAGCAGUGGGGAAUAUUGCACAAUGGGCGCAAGCCUGAUGCAGCCAUGCCGCGUGUAUGAAGAAGGCCUUAGGGUUGUAAAGUACUUUCAGUUGGGAGGAAGGCGUUGAUUAAUAUCAGCGAUUGACGUUACCAACAGAGAAGCACCGGCUAACUCCGUGCCAGCAGCCGCGGAAAUACGGAGGGUGCAAGCGUUAAUCGGAAUUACUGGGCGUAAAGCGCACGC